GAUUGCUUCACAGUCUCGUUAUCCGUCGGCAUCUCCGCUAUUGACUCUGGGGAUGCCAUUGUUGAUGUUGAUGUUGUUGUUACUGCUGCUGCUUCUGUCUGCGCUGGCCGUGAUGCCGCGAGAUACGAGUCGAUCUCUCUUCUUCGUCGCCGUCGACG
rnacentral:miRNA from 1 species